AGAGUUUGAUCCUGGCUCAGAUUGAACGCUGGCGGCAUGCCUUACACAUGCAAGUCGAACGGUAACGCGGGGCAACCUGGCGACGAGUGGCGAACGGGUGAGUAACGCAUCGGAACGUGCCCAGUAGUGGGGGAUAGCCCGGCGAAAGCCGGAUUAAUACCGCAUACGACCUACGGGUGAAAGCGGGGGACCGUAAGGCCUCGCGCUAUUGGAGCGGCCGAUGUCAGAUUAGGUAGUUGGUGGGGUAAAAGCCUACCAAGCCGACGAUCUGUAGCUGGUCUGAGAGGACGACCAGCCACACUGGGACUGAGACACGGCCCAGACUCCUACGGGAGGCAGCAGUGGGGAAUUUUGGACAAUGGGCGCAAGCCUGAUCCAGCCAUGCCGCGUGCGGGAUGAAGGCCUUCGGGUUGUAAACCGCUUUUGUCAGGGAAGAAACGCUCCGGGCCAAUACCCUGGGGUAAUGACGGUACCUGAAGAAUAAGCACCGGCUAACUACGUGCCAGCAGCCGCGGUAAUACGUAGGGUGCAAGCGUUAAUCGGAAUUACUGGGCGUAAAGCGUGCGCAGGCGGUUUUGUAAG
rnacentral:rRNA from 1 species